rnacentral:rRNA from 1 species
UGCCAGCCGCUGCGGUAAUACAGAGGGGGCAAGCGUUAUCCGGAUUUAUUGGGCGUAAAGCGCGCGUAGGCGGCUUGUUAAGUCAGAUGUGAAAACCGGGGGCUCAACCCGCGGCCUGCAUCUGAAACUGGCAGGCUUGAGUCUGGUAGAGGAAAGUGGAAUUCCUGGUGUAGCGGUGAAAUGCGCAGAUAUCAGGAGGAACACCAGUGGCGAAGGCGGCUUUCUGGGCCACGACUGACGCUGAGGCGCGAAAGCUAGGGGAGCGAACAGGAUUAGAUA